rnacentral:tRNA from 1 species
CGCUAAGAAGCUUCCUAUAGCAUUAGCCUUUUAAGCUAAAGAAGGGUAAAUAAGCCCCUUAGCGA